rnacentral:rRNA from 1 species
GCUGGCGGCGUGCUUAACACAUGCAAGUCAAGGAAAACGUUUUCUUCGGAAAAUUAUUAAACUGGCGAACGGGUGAGUAACACGUAGGUAAUCUGCCUUAGAGAUUGGGAUAACCCGGCGAAAGCCGGACUAAUACCAAAUAAUGCAGCGGCUUCUUCGGAAGAUGUUGUUAAAGCGGGCUUCGGCCCGCACUUUAAGAUGAGCCUGCGUCCGAUUAGCUUGUUGGUAAGGUAACGGCUUACCAAGGCAAUUAUCGGUAGCUGGUCUGAGAGGACGAUCAGCCACACUGGAAUUGAGAUACGGUCCAGACUCCUACGGGAGGCAGCAGUGGGGAAUUUUGCGCAAUGGGCGAAAGCCUGACGCAGCAACGCCGCGUGAUCGAUGAAGCUCCUCGGAGUGUAAAGAUCUGUCAUAAGGGAAGAAAAAUCCUAUUAAAAAUAUUAUUAGGACUUGACGGUACCUUAUAAGAAAGCACCGGCUAACUUAGUGCCAGCAGCCGCGGUAAUACUAGGGGUGCAAGCGUUGUCCGGAAUCGUUGGGCGUAAAGGGUGCGUAGGCGUCCGAGAAAGUUAUUUGUUAAAUCC